UCUGUGCCUUACUUAUUUAACUUAACAUAGUAAUUUUCAGUUUCAUCCAUGUUGUUGCAAAUAACUGGAUCUCAUUCUUUCUGUGGCUAAAUAGUACUCUAUUGUAUAGACAUACAAUGUUUUCUUUAUUCAUUCAUCUGUUGGUGGACCCUUAGGCUGCUUCCAAAUCUUAACUAUUGUAAACAGUGCUGCAACAAACACAGGAGUGAAGAUAUCUCUUUGAUGUACCAUUUUCGUUGUUUUGGGUAUACGCCCAGCACUGGGAUUGCUAGAUCAUAUGGUGUUAAUAUCACAUGGGACUGGGAAAAUCAUGUGGGAUGCUGAAAGUCAUAAUAAGCCAUUGAUGAUUCAUUCUAAAUCCUAAGGUAAGACAUUAAAGUUUUUGUUUUAAGUCUGAGAUUUGCAAGAAGACAUACAUAUUUUGCUGAUUGCCAAGUGGAUAAUGCAUUGGGUACAAGAAGUAUUGAAGGUAGAGAAACAAAUUGUGAAAUAUUUGCUACAUUUAAGAAGAGGUGAUAAUAACUUGGACCAAGCUAAAGGCUAUGAGGAUGAAUAGAUGUGGAUGCAUGGAGACAUGUUUUUGAUAUAGAUUCAGCAAGAAAUUUUAAUAUAUUAGAUUUUUAUGUUUUGAGAGAAAAAGACAUUUUAAAGAUUAUGGCUUGAAUAGAUUGGGUAAUUAUGCAGUUUAUUUUAAUGGUGAAGAAUGGCAUGGUGGGGGGGGGGUGGAUAUUUGUGAAGAAUUUAGGAAUUUGAUUUUGGUCAUAUUAAGUCUGAGAUUGCCUAAGCAGUAUCAGAUAGAGAUGGCAAGUAGAGUGGUGGAAUAUACUUCCUAGCCUGAACUUCAGAAGGCAAGGCUGAAUUAAAGACAUUAGAAAUCACUAACAAGAAGAAGAUAAAGGCAUGAGACAGUAUGAGGAGAAAAAGAGAAGAGACAUAGGAUGUAGUUCUAAUUAAAAGCACCAUUUAGUGGUUGUGUAGAAAAAGAGUCAAUGAAAAAAAAAAAACAUGCAAAAAGGUGACAGUGAGGUAGAAAAAAAAAUCGUGAGACAGUGUUGUUACAACAGCUGAGACAGAUAAAUGUUUCAAGUAGAAAGAGGUAAUCAACUGUCAUGAAUAUUGCAGAAAAGUGUAAUAAUAUUAGAAAAAGGUCCAUUUUCCAAUGUUAAUGUAGACGUUCUUUGAGAUAAGUGACAUAAACUUUACAUAAGCUUUGGUGACGUGGGGGCAGUGCCAGAUGGCAGUAGAUUGAAGAGUAAAAUGUAGAGAAGAAGAUGAGAAAGUGUACAUAAGACAGAUGGGUCUUUUGAGGUUUAGCUAGAAAGUAAGUGGGUGGUAGCUGGAAUAUUUUAUACAUAUAUUUUUAAGAUUAAAGGGAAAAGAAUACAGUCUUACAUUAAUGCAAACAACUUAGUAAAGAAGGAGAACCUAAUAAUGUAAAUGAAAAUAAUAACAGAAGGGAAAUAGUUCCUGAAAAGACAGAAAAAAAUGUUAUCCAGAGCAAAAAUGGAGGGGUUUAGCUCUUAAAAAGAGGACUCAUUCUUCAGUCUAAGAUGGGGAUGAAAGAUGAAAAUUAUGAUAGCUUUUUAUGUUUGCUAUUAAUGAGAUGAGGGAUAUACUUUGAGUGGUUUUUAAUCCCUCAGUAGCACACAAAAUAAGAUAACUAGCUGAGAGAGAUAAAUCGAGGUAGAGACAGAGACAAAGACAGAGAAACAGAGACAGAGGUAAAGGUAGAGGUAGAGAUGAGAGAGAGAAAAUAUUACACAGGGCUAAGGCAAAGUUUCUGAGUUUGCUAUCAACUGAUAUUUGGACAUCAGUGGGAUUAAUGUGAAAGAGCCCAUAAAGGAUGAAACUUAAUACAUAUUUAAGAAAUAGUAUUGCAGAACGAUUAAUCUGGCAAAGUCAUAAGAAAUAAAUUGAAGAGAAUGGAAGAAAAAUAAAACAAGAAAUUAAAUUACUAAAAUAGUUUAGAACAUGUGGGGCUAUGAACUGAAAUCAGUAGGAUAAUUUGGGUAAUAGAAGGUUGAGAUGUAUUUGAAAGGUCUUAAGUGUGAAGAUAUGGUAGUAUGCUGGUGCCAUUGAAAGAAUUUUAAAAGUGUAAUGUAAGUUUUAUAGGGAGAAGAUGAGUUAAAUUUUGAAUAUGUUUUAUUUGAGGACUAAUAGUGAAACUUGAGAGUGGUCACAUGGGGAGAUGAAAGAUUGAAAGACUUCUCACUGAAUAUAAUAUAGAAGGUAUAAAAUACUCUCAAGUCUCCUCCAUCUCAAAAUAACAAAAAUAGCAAUGAAAACUAAACAUACCUGUAUUUGCAUUCUACUCAAGGUAACAAAUAAUCUGUUUUUUUCUUUCUUAAUUCAUUAAUUUAAUUAACAUUUCUUGAUUUCCUUAUAUGUUCAUUAUAUGUUCAAAAUCCUAUGAUCUGCUUUUGUGAAUGGUGAGAAAAAGGGUGGAGGAUAGUGAGAAGGUAUGACCCUUGCUCACUGUCACAUAGCAUAUAGCUAUCAGUGGAGACAUAUUAAACAAAUGGUUACAUAAUCAGAUAAUUCAUUUAUAAUAAGAGAUAAUGAACAGAAGACUAUAAUAAUAUGUGAGGGCAUAAUGGGGGUACCUUUGUACUGAGAAUAUUUGGAAGAAACAAAGUUGGAACAAAAAAGGUGAGAAGGAGUUGGCUAGGUUAAGAGACAGCAGAGAGUUCUGUGCAAAGACAACAGUAUGACACAGCCAAGUAAGAAAGAGGGUUGAUAUGCUUUAGAUGGAGAAAACAAGGAGAAAGGUCAUCAGCUCUGUGAAAGAAGAAAUAAGGAGCUCAAAUCUAUAAUUUUUUAACUUUAUAUUUACAGUAACAAUGGAAUAAUGCAUAUCUCCAUUUAGAUUUUUUAUUGGCAUCUGAACUACUGAGUGCAUCCAGGUGAAUUAAUUAAUUUCCUUUUCUUCCUGUGAUACAUUGAUUAAAGGCAUUCGAAUCUGUUAGUCAUUCACACACACUCUAAACCCUGUUUAUCUUUAAUUUCUUCUCCUUUAUCCUUCACACUCAAUGGCUCACAAGGGAUGAUGAAUCUACUAAUGAAAUUGUUUUUUCCUAUGAAAUUUGUCUUUUAUCAGAGAAAAGUAAAUGUAUCCUUUAGUUAAGUUUUUGUAACUUUUCAUUUCCUAUCUUCUAAGCAUCUGUACUUCUAACCUCUAUCACCCAAUUAUCCAUUGGGCUGUGAGCCAUAUUUCAUCUUGAUACUCUAAGUACCUAGCACAUAGCAUACAUCUAUUAGUACCUACCAAAUGAUAAAUAAUACAUAUAUUGCAUGAAUGAAGUAUAGAAUGAGAAUUGUAGGAAUAUUAUCAAUAGAAAACAGAAAGAUUUGAAGACAAAGC
rnacentral:lncRNA from 1 species